rnacentral:rRNA from 1 species
GACGAACGCUGGCGGCGUGCCUAAUACAUGCAAGUCGAACGCUGAAGCUUGGUGCUUGCACCGAGCGGGUGAGUUGAGCACGGGUGAGUAACGCGUAGGUCACCUGCCUGGUAGCGGGGGAUAACUAUUGGAAACGAUAGAUAAUACCGCAUAAGAGUAGAUGUUGCAUGACAUUUGGGUAAAAGGUGCCAUUGCAUCACUACCAGAUGGACCUGCGGUGUAUUAGCUAGUUGGUGAGGUACCGGCUCACCAAGGCAUGGAUACAUAGCCGACCUGAUAGGGUGGGUGGCCACACUGGGAGUGUGACACGGCCCAGUGUGCUUCGGGAAGCAGCCGGAGGGCAACGUGGGCAAGCGGCGGAAGUCUGAGCGCGCAGCGCCGCGGGCGGGAAGAAGGUUUUCGGGUGGGAAAGGUCGGUUGUAGGGGAAGAACGAGCGUGAGAGUAGAAAGUUGACACUGUGACGGUAACUGAUCAAAAAGGAACGGCUAACUACGUG